GCAAUCCUCCCACCUGAGCCUCCAGAGUAGCUGGGACUACAGGGAAUGUGACUUCACUGGAUGCAGUAUAAAGAUCUUCAGAUGUCCUCCUGCCAGGGAUUGCAGGGAUCACAGAAAGACUACCGAGGUCCAGCAGCUACCUGCAAGCGGAGAUCCCUCUGGACACCCCCUGCCUCACCCAGCAAAGCCGCAUCACAACCCCGCGCUCUCAAACCUCUAAAAGGGCUUGAGGUGCUAAGAGGAAAGGAAGCCCAAGAUUGCCACGGCUUACGUGGGCUCCAAGGAGGGCCAGGAGUCACUGCCUGCUUGGGCUAAGGGUACCGCGUACGGAAAGGCGGCGGGGGCGCGGCCCAGUCCCAGGAGAUGCGCCCAACGAAGAAGCGGAGGGACACGGUCACGGGAUAGGGCAGACACCCGGCUGCUUUUUGUUUGCUAGACACCAGCGCCAGCCCCUGCCCGGCCCUCCCGGUCUCCUAAGCGGGGUCUUAGGCUCUACAGCGCCCCCGACCGCCCUCCUGCGCUCCUCACCGUCUCCAUUGCAAGAGGCGCCGGCUUGGUUUUCUCGCUUUAGGAAACUCUCUUGGGGAAGGCCACGCCCCACAUCCGGUGCGGCGACGCCACUUCCGCCCACGUCACGGCAGUCGCCAGACUACGGCGGAAGGCGUGGAACCCACCCUUCCGGCGGUGGCGGGCCUCGGUAACCGCCCUCCCCCGGGUCCUCUCGGACCGCACGGAUCCGGCUGACGGCGAGGGUCACGGGACGGAGCCGCUUGUAUUUAAAAUGUUCUUUUUUUAUUUGUCGUUUAAAAACAAACUUGGAAGAAGCAAAAUCCAAAACUUGCCCUUUGCCUCUCGCAACAUAAAUUAUGUACAGUUCAGAAUGAUCGCUGAUACAAAACAUGCCAAGGACAGGGGCGCUGAGGGUGGAGGGAGAGAGGGCGCUUUAAAAAAGGGAACCAUUUCAUCCGUUGUUACGAAGGACCAACCUUGCUGUACAGGAUACACACAACACAAAAUAAAGUCUUCACGGGAUUCA